rnacentral:rRNA from 1 species
CCUACGUGGCGCAGCAGUGAGGAAUAUUGGUCAAUGGGCGGAAGCCUGAACCAGCCAAGUAGCGUGCAGGAUGACGGCCCUACGGGUUGUAAACUGCUUUUAUACGGGAAUAACGCGCCUUACGUGUAGGGCUUUGCAUGUACCGUAUGAAUAAGGACCGGCCAAGUCCGUUCCAGCAGCCGCGGUAAUACGGAAGGUCCGGGCGUUAUCCGUAUUUAUUGGGUUUAAAGUGCGCGUAGGCCGCAUGUCAAGCGUGCUGUGAAAUGUCGGGGCUCAACCCGGGCCUUGCAGCGCGAACUGGCGUGCUUGAGUCCGCGGAAAGCAGGCGGAAUUCGUCGUGUAGCGGUGAAAUGCUUAGAUAUGACGAAGAACCCCGAUUGCGAAGGCAGCUUGCUGCAGCGGAACUGACGCUGAUGCUCGAAAGCGCGGGUAUCGAACAGGAUUAGAUACCCCUGUAGUC